rnacentral:rRNA from 1 species
AUGGCGGAGGAACCGUCCGCAAAGCGUCAUCAUGCCGAGACGUCGGACAAGAGGAACAACCUCGUCGACAUUAACGUCCCCGGCGAGAAGCGUGAAUACACAACAACCCUCAAAGGAGUUGAGCUCCACAGCAACGAGACACUGGAGAUCAUCUGCACCAGCGUACCAGAAAAGGCCGACGAGGUGAUCUCCAGGCUCUGGAUGAAGCUUGGCGGCAGGUUUCGUAGGAUCGUCGGUGUUGGUGUGCACUACACCAACGAAGAUGAACCUCCCCAGAUGGCAGUAGUCCUGCAGUUGUGCGUCGAUGAACUCUGCUUGGUGUACCACAUCGCAGCGGCCACAAAAUGGCCCAAGCGCCUAACCGAGAUGCUGCAUCAUGAGAAGUUGUUCACAUUUGCCGGUUUCAGCAUUGAAAGCAACAAAGAGAAGCUGAAGUUGUCCGGUAUGGAGAUCAACCCCAACAAGUUCAUUGACAUUCAGCGCAAGUGGAGAGUUCCAUACACCAGAAAAGAGUACGACUCCUUGACUGAUGUUGCAACCAGCGUCAUCCACCCAUUCUACAAAGGCAUGAAGAACAAUAUCAACACGCAGGAAGACUACAAACUGUGGGGGACCAACGAGCUGCCAGACAACCUCAUCGAGUACGCAGGAGUAGAUGUGUACGCCGCGUACAAGUCAUGGUUCAUGAUCGACUACAUCACAGAUGGUUGGGAAUAUGCGAAAGAGCGGGAGGCUGAAAACUUCUACGACCGCCCCUAUUGCCCCUUUACAGGAUGA